CAAAAACAUCGUCUUUUGAAACACCCACAUAAAAGAUAAUGCCUGCCCAGUGAAAAUUUUAAACGGCCGCGUUAGCGUGAGCGUGCUAAGGUAGCGUAAUAAAUAGCCUUUUAAUUGGAGGCCAGUGAAUGGCAAGACUAGGAAUACCUGUACCCUUUAUGAAAAAAAAACUUUUCAUCUGAGUGAAAAGACUCAGAUAACAAAGGAAGACGAAAAGACCCCGCGGAACUUUACCUUUUCCAGCCUCAGCUGCCCACAAACACAAAAGACAAAAGGUUUGAUUGGGGCAAUCUCGGAACA
rnacentral:rRNA from 1 species